AAAAACAUUGCCUUUCGACUUUACUAUGGAAGGUUCAUCCUGCCCAAUGACUCUUAGUUCAAUGGCCGCGGUAUCUUGACCGUGCAAAGGUAGCAUAAUCACUUGCCCCUUAAUUAGGGGCUGGCAUGAAAGGACACACGAAAGCUUCCCUGUCUCACAAUAAUAAAUAAAAAUUAAUCUUUAAGUGAAAAAGCUUAAAUAAAAUUGCAGGACAAGAAGACCCCGUUGAGCUUUAUUCUCUAUAGACCAAUCUAAAUAUUUAUUAUAUCAUAAACCUAAAAAAGAAUUUAGUUGGGGUGACUAAGGAACAUCAUAAACUUCCUCUAUCUAUUUAGGGCUAUUCCCCAAAAAAAUUGACCCACAAACCGUGAUCAAAAAAAUAAGCUACCACAGGGAUAACAGGCUAAUCUUUCUUAAGAGCCCAAAUUGUCAGAAAGGAUUGGCACCUCGAUGUUGGCUUAGGGGCCCCUAAUGGUGCAGAAGCCAUAAAAGGUAGGUUUGUUCAACCUUUAAAACCCUAC
rnacentral:rRNA from 1 species